CGGCGGACGGGUGAGUAACGCGUGGGUAACCUGCCUCAUACAGGGGGAUAACAGUUAGAAAUAGACUGCUAAUACCGCAUAAGACCACGGUACCGCAUGGUACAGUGGUAAAAACUCCGGUGGUAUGAGAUGGACCCGCGUCUGAUUAGGUAGUUGGUGAGGUAACGGCCCACCAAGCCGACGAUCAGUAGCCGACCUGAGAGGGUGACCGGCCACAUUGGGACUGAGACACGGCCCAG
rnacentral:rRNA from 1 species